CGGCGCUUUAUCUCUGGCGGAGGGGCCGGCUUCUAGGGCAAAUUUGGCUUCGGGCCUGGGGUUGGUGGUAAAUGUCGUAGUAAUUAAUUGUAACGGGCUACUGUUUCUUGAACACCUUUUACAUUUAUUGGCUUGUUUAGUCUUCACAUCCCCCCUUCCUGAAAGGAACUCUUGAAGAUCCCUCUGAUGGCUUACCCAGGACAUCCAGCUGCACAGUAAAGGUGGCUUCUCCUGCUCUGUUCUUGGCAACACAUGCAUAGGCCCCUGCAUCUGAAGCUCUGACCACUUCAAAGAUGAGUGAAUGAAAACCCUUUUCAGACACUAUCAUUUUGUGCAAGUCAUCUGAUUGAACUGGUCUUCCAUUCAGAUACCAUGACACAUCAGGAGCUGGCAGUCCGCUGACCUGAAAAGGAAGACACAAGAAGGAGAUGACAGAAUUUUAAAUUAUAUCAUCACUGUGAAUUUGAACUGUGGUUAUUGCCUGGACGUGGCAUUCAAAUGUGACAGACUGACCACUGGUUGUAGAGAUGUCUUGAAGAUGCUGAAGAAGAAACAUAGAAUUC